rnacentral:lncRNA from 1 species
AUGGCCGGGAUCACUCUAAUCAAGAACUCCUCCAUUAACUUUGACAUACGCCAACAGCUGUGCAAAUUAGAAGCCCUCCCACCCAGGCUUUACGGACUCCCAAAAAUCCACAAGGACUCCAUCCCACUCAGACCCAAUGUAAGUACCAUUGGAUCGCCGACUUACAACCUAGCAAAAUGUCUGGCUACACAGCUGCAAACCCACAUUGGGCUCACUGCGCACUAUAUCAAGGACUCAACACAUUUCAUAGAAGAGAUCAGCAACCUAAAGAUAAACACCAAGGACAUCCUGAUCAGCUUUGAUGUGGUGACCCUAUUUACCAAGGUCCCGGUAGCUGACACCCUCACAUUAAUCAAACAAAACUUCCCAGAAGACAUCACAGCCCUGUUUCACCAUUGCUUCACCGCUAGCUACUUUCAGUGGGACAAUGGAUUCUAUGAACAGAAAGAUGGAGUGGCCAUGGGGAGCCCUCUCAGCCCAGUAGUAGCAAAUUUCUAUUUGGAACACUUUGAAAAACAAGCCCUAGAAACAGCACCAAAAAAGCCAACUGUUUGGUUCAGAUACGUAGAUGACACCUUCACAAUUUGGAGCCAUGGAGAGGAAGAACUCAGCAAGUUCCUGGACCACCUUAACAGCAUCCACUCAAACAUCCAAUUCACCAUGGAAAAAGAAAAGGAAGGAAAACUGCCAUUUCUAGAUGUUCUGGUCAUCCGCAAACCCAAUCAACAAUUGGGCCACACAGUUUACAGAAAACCUACACACACAGAUAGAUACCUUCAUAAAAACUCCAAUCAUCACUCAAGUCAAAAAAGAAGCACAAUCAAAGUCCUGACAGACCGUGCACAAAGAAUCUGCGAACCUUACCUCCUCCAAGGUGAACUAAACCACCUAAACUGGGCUCUACAGACCAAUGGAUACUCCACCACAGACAUCAGAAGAGGUGCAAGGCCAAGAACAAGCCAUGAGAGUCAAGACAAAGAUCCACCCAGAGGAAAGGUGUUCUUACCAUACAUCAGGGGAACUACUGACCGCAUAGGUAAACUGAUGAAGAAGCACAACCUACAAACAAUCUACAGACCCACAAAGAAAAUCCAACAAAUGCUACGGUCAGUGAAAGACAAGAGGGAUCCUCUCUCCUCUGCAGGAGUCUACCAGAUACCAUGCAGCUGUGGACAAGUCUACAUAAGGACCACCAAACGCAGCGUCCAAACAAGAGAACAUGAAAGGCACUGCAGACUAAUUCAACCAGAGAAAUCAGCCAUAGCAGAGCACUUGAUGAACCAACCUGGACACAGUUUAUUAUUUGAGAACACAGAAAUGCUGGACUACUCCAACAACUAUCAUGUCAGACUACACAGAGAAGCCAUUGAAAUCCACAAGCAUGUGGACAACUUCAACAGAAAGGAGGAAACCAUGAAAAUGAACAAAAUCUGGCUACCAGUAUUAAAAAACUCUAAAAUCAAAACAGUAGAUGGGAAGCAACACUCUGAGGGCAGAGGAGCCCCAAGGAUGGCUAAUGACUGA